GAUGAACGCUGGCGGCGUGCCUAACACAUGCAAGUCGAGCGAAAAGGUCAUCGACUUGCUGCUCUUACUUUAGCUCCGGACGCGUAAGUAACACUUGGAUAACCUAACUAUAAGACUGGGUUAACUUCGAGAAACCGGAGCUAAUACCGGAUAAUAUAUUGAUCCGCAUGGUUCAAUAGUGAAAGACGGUUGUGCUGUCACUUAUAGAUGGAUCCGCGCCGCAUUAGCUAGUUGGUAAGGUAACGGCUUACCAAGGCAACGAUCCGUAGCCGACCUGAGAGGGGGGUAGGCCCCCCCGGAUCUGAGACAAGGCCCAGACCACUACGGGAGGCAGGAGUAGGGAAUCUACCGUAAGGGGAGAAAGCCUGACGGAAAAACGCCGCGUAGGUGACGAAGGUAUUCGGAUAGUAAAACUAAGUUAUUAGGAAAAAACAAAUGUGUAAGUAACUAGGCACGUUUUGACGGUACCUAAUCAGAAAGCCACGGCUAACUACGUG
rnacentral:rRNA from 1 species